AAAUUUUUUAAUACAUCAUUUUUUUUAUUUUACAGAAAUAAAACUUGAGAUGAAGCCUCCUGAUAUUCCUGACUCCAGAGUUCCAAUUCCAACCAUGCCAAUCAGAGCAAUACCACCAGAAGAAAUUCCUCCUACGGCUGUUCCUCCCAUCCCUCUUUUGCUACCAUUACCUGAAGAAAAGAAACCACCAGAAAAACGUGUUGAAGGUAUUAUAUGUUAGCUACCUAAAUGCCAGAAUAUAGGAUUUAAUUAUUGAAUAUACAGACCUGGAAAAUGUUGUUUAGUGCAACUUGUUGGCCCUCUAGUGGUCAGCAGUUUGGAUUGCCUUUCAAAAUGUAAGUUACAUAAUUUUAGUAUUAAUUAAAUGUGUUAGACAUGUGCCUAAAAGUCUGAAAAUAAUUAGAAAAAAUAUUUUUUAAAAAUCACUUAAGCAUUAAGUAUUCUUGCCAGUAUUCUUGCCUGGAGAAUCC
rnacentral:lncRNA from 1 species